CGCUAUCACUCCUACGGGGAGGCAGCAGUAGGAAUCUUCCACAAUGGGCGCAAGCCCGAUGGAGCAACACCGCGUGAGUGAAGAAGGGUUUCGGCUCGUAAAGCUCUGUUGUUUAAAGAAGAACACGUAUGAGAGUAACUGUUCAUACGUUGACGGUAUUUAACCAGAAAGUCACGGCUAACUACGUGCCAGCAGCCGCGGUAAUACGUAGGUGGCAAGCGUUAUCCGGAUUUAUUGGGCGUAAAGAGAGUGCAGGCGGUUUUCUAAGUCUGAUGUGAAAGCCUUCGGCUUAACCGGAGAAGUGCAUCGGAAACUGGAUAACUUGAGUGCAGAAGAGGGUAGUGGAACUCCAUGUGUAGCGGUGGAAUGCGUAGAUAUAUGGAAGAACACCAGUGGCGAAGGCGGCUACCUGGUCUGCAACUGACGCUGAGACUCGAAAGCAUGGGUAGCGAACAGGAUUAGAUACCCUGGUAG
rnacentral:rRNA from 1 species